AUUGAACGCUGGCGGAAUGCUUUACACAUGCAAGUCGAACGGUAGAGGGGGCAACCCCUUGAGAGUGGCGAACGGGUGAGUAAUAUAUCGGAACGUGCCCAGUCGUGGGGAUAACGUAGCGAAAGCUACGCCAAUACCGCAUACGAUCUAUGGAUGAAAGCGGGGGAUCGCAAGACCUCGCGCGAUUGGAGCGGCCGAUAUCAGAUUAGGUAGUUGGUGAGGUAAGGGCUCACCAAGCCGACGAUCUGUAGCUGGUCUGAGAGGACGACCAGCCACACUGGGACUGAGACACGGCCCAGACUCCUACGGGAGGCAGCAGUGGGGAAUUUUGGACAAUGGGCGCAAGCCUGAUCCAGCAAUGCCGCGUGCAGGAUGAAGGCC
rnacentral:rRNA from 1 species